rnacentral:rRNA from 1 species
GAUGAACGCUGGCGGCGUGCUUAACACAUGCAAGUCGAACGGUGAAGGCGGAGCUUGCUCUGCUGGAUCAGUGGCGAACGGGUGAGUAACACGUGAGCAAUCUGCCCCUGACUCUGGGAUAAGCGCUGGAAACGGCGUCUAAUACUGGAUACGAGCUGCGAAGGCAUCUUCAGCAGCUGGAAAGAAUUUCGGUCAGGGAUGAGCUCGCGGCCUAUCAGCUUGUUGGUGAGGUAAUGGCUCACCAAGGCGUCGACGGGUAGCCGGCCUGAGAGGGUGACCGGCCACACUGGGACUGAGACACGGCCCAGACUCCUACGGGAGGCAGCAGUGGGGAAUAUUGCACAAUGGGCGAAAGCCUGAUGCAGCAACGCCGCGUGAGGGACGACGGCCUUCGGGUUGUAAACCUCUUUUAGCAGGGAAGAAGCGAAAGGGACGGUACCUGCAGAAAAAGCGCCGGCUAACUACGU